rnacentral:rRNA from 1 species
AUUGAACGCUGGCGGCAGGCCUAACACAUGCAAGUCGAGCGAGCGGCGGACGGGUGAGUAAUGUAUGGGGACUGCCCGAUAGAGGGGGAUAACUACUGGAAACGGUAGCUAAUACCGCAUACUAUCGGAUAACCCAUAUGGGAUUAGCUAGUAGGUGAGGUAAUGGCUCACCUAGGCGACGAUCCCUAGCUGGGCUGAGAUGAUGAUCAGGCAAAGUUGGACUGAGAGACGGGCCGGACUCCUACGGAGGCAGCAGUGGGGAAUAUUGCACAAUUGGCGCAAGCCUGACGCAGACAUGCCGCUUGUAGGAAGAAGGCCAUAAGGUUGGAAAUUACUUUCAGUGGGGAGGCGUUACCGACAGAAGAAGCACCGGCUAACUCCGUGCCAGCAGCCGCGGUAAUAC